rfam:Aedes albopictus isolate Foshan contig113691, whole genome shotgun sequence.
CUCCCAGCAACUCCUAUCCCUACCUCCACGCGGUGCCGGCCGGAAACUAUGAGCUACCUUAGGGAAGAUCGGGUAACCUACCCCGGUGGGAACUUUGGUCGUAGGCUGACAGGGAAGG